CCUACGGGAGGCAGCAGUGAGGAAUAUUGGUCAAUGGCCGGAAGGCUGAACCAGCCAAGCCGCGUGAAGGACGAAGGUGCCAAGCAUUGUAAACUUCUUUUGUCAAGGGACAAAAUCAGGCUCGAGAGCCUGACCGAGGGUACUUGAAGAAAAAGCAUCGGCUAACUCCUUGCCAGCAGCCGCGGUAAUACGGGGGAUGCGAGCGUUAUCCGGAUUUAUUGGGUUUAAAGGGUGCGUAGGCGGACUGUUAGGUCAGCGGUAAAGGCCCGGGGCUCAACCCCGGCGAGCCGUUGAAACUGGCUGUCUUGAGAUGUCGAGAGGUAUGCGGAAUGCGCAGUGUAGCGGUGAAAUGCUUAGAUAUUGCGCAGAACUCCGAUUGCGAAGGCAGCAUACCGGCGGCGAUCUGACGCUGAGGCACGAAAGCGUGGGUAUCGAACAGGAUUAGAUACCCCAGUAGUC
rnacentral:rRNA from 1 species